GAAGAAACUGAAGCUUGGAGCAAUUAAGAAACAGGCCUACGAAAGUCUCCUAACUGGCUAGAGAUGAUGAAACUGCAGUUGGCACCCCUGGCCUGAUUGACACCAAAGCUCUAAUAUUUAAAAUGAAAUCAGGUUUCCCUACAGGAGCAAUUGUAUUUCCAAGAGUAUGCUAUUAUACUAAAUAUUCUGUAAGCUUUCUAUAACCUGUGAAACUGCUAUAUACUCUGAGGAACUCAGGAGCAGAGUACUGCCCGUCUCUUCAUCCCACCCCACCUUGAGAAAUUCUUAGAAACUGCAUGAUUUACAUCUUUUAACAUGUUUUUGUGCUUACCUAUAAGAUAAACUCUU